rnacentral:rRNA from 1 species
GCCUCAGUAACGGCGAGUGAAGCGGCAAUAGCUCAAAUUUGAAAUCUGGCUCUUUUAGAGUCCGAGUUGUAAUUUGUAGAGGAUGCUUCGGCUUACGUUUCGGUCUAAGUUCCUUGGAACAGGACGUCACAGAGGGUGAGAAUCCCGUUUGUGGCCGAGACUUCCGCCAUGUGAAGCUCCUUCGACGAGUCGAGUUGUUUGGGAAUGCAGCUCUAAAUGGGAGGUAAAUUUCUUCUAAAGCUAAAUACCGGCCAGAGACCGAUAGCGCACAAGUAGAGUGAUCGAAAGAUGAAAAGCACUUUGGAAAGAGAGUUAAAAAGUACGUGAAAUUGUUGAAAGGGAAGCGCUUGCGACCAGACUUGCCCGCGGAUGCUCAACCGGUCCUUCGGCCGGUGCACUCUUCCGCGGUCAGGCCAGCAUCAGUUCGGGCGGUUGGAUAAAGGCCUUGGGAAUGUGGCUCUCUUCGGGGAGUGUUAUAGCCCUUGGUGCAAUACAACCUGCCUGGACUGAGGCCCGCGCUUCGGCUAGGAUGUUGGCGUAAUGGUCGUAAGCGGCCCGUCUUGAAACACGGACCAAGGAGUCUAACAUCUAUGCGAGUGUUUGGGUGUCAAACCCGUGCGCGAAAUGAAAGUGAACGGAGGUGGGAAUCUUCGGAUGCACCAUCGACCGAUCCUGAUGUCUUCGGAUGGAUUUGAGUAAGAGCAUAGCUGUUGGGACCCGAAAGAUGGUGAACUAUGCCUGAAUAGGGUGAAGCCAGAGGAAACUCUGGUGGAGGCUCGCAGCGGUUCUGACGUGCAAAUCGAUCGUCAAAUUUGGGUAUAGGGGCGAAAGACUAAUCGAACCAUCUAGUAGCUGGUUCCUGCCGAAGUUCCCUCAGGAUAGCAGUGACGUUUUCAGUUUUAUGAGGUAAAGCGAAUGAUUAAAGGCCUUGGGGUUG